CCAUGGUACUAAAAGAAUGUUGGAGCAUUCAAAAGUUGGUUCUGAGUUUGGAAUGUGCAGCAUUAAUAAAAAUCCUGCUGAGUUUAGCAUACCAGAGGCGGGAAAUGUAUACAUGAUAGGGGCUGAAGAUCUACAGUUUUCAAAAAGGAUAUCUAAAAAUACGCCUGACUUGAAUAACAUGGAUGGGCGCAAACGCAAGAGGAAUAUGAAGCAUGCUGUUGUAAGAUCAUCUUCAUGAAAAACAAGCUGCAUGGUUUCAACUUUUAAAUGGUUCCUUUCCAUUAUUUGGGAACUUUUAAAUGUCUUGCCGGUUAGAAUAUGAACUGCCAUUGCACCCAAGGAUAAUAUCUAUGGUUUGUUAGCUUCCCUACGCUAUUGUGUUCACCCUCUUUCUGGCACUCUCCAACGAAGACUGGCUGCAGAUAUGCCAUGUUCGGAAUGAGGCAAGGCCUGUACAUAAUAAGACUACAUGAAUCUUGAGGUUCAUCAGUACACUUAUUGUAUAUGCAACAAUUUUGGUUUGAUGUGUAUGUUGUACGUUGUUAUACUUAUUCACAAGGUUAUGUAUAUACACUGAGUCCUACUCUUUGGUUUUCGAUCGAGGGUAAGCUAAGUCGGUUUUUUGCACUGAUGAGGGUCAGCAGUGUGAGAAGGAAUAACAGAGAAUUAGCUAGCUAUUUCUCCUUAGAAUGAUGCUCAUUGUUGGAUUCUUCGUGUUGGGAAUACUAAUAUUUGUAGUUUUUGUA